rnacentral:rRNA from 1 species
CCUACGGGGGGCUGCAGUCGAGAAUCAUUCACAAUGGGGGAAACCCUGAUGGUGCGACGCCGCGUGGGGGAAUGAAGGUCUUCGGAUUGUAAACCCCUGUCAUGUGGGAGCAAAUUAAAAAGAUAGUACCACAAGAGGAAGAGACGGCUAACUCUGUGCCAGCAGCCGCGGUAAUACAGAGGUCUCAAGCGUUGUUCGGAAUCACUGGGCGUAAAGCGUGCGUAGGCGGUUUCGUAAGUCGUGUGUGAAAGGCGCGGGCUCAACCCGCGGACGGCACAUGAUACUGCGAGACUAGAGUAAUGGAGGGGGAACCGGAAUUCUCGGUGUAGCAGUGAAAUGCGUAGAUAUCGAGAGGAACACUCGUGGCGAAGGCGGGUUCCUAGACAUUAACUGACGCUGAGGCACGAAGGCCAGGGGAGCGAAAGGGAUUAGAUACCCCGGUAGUC